rnacentral:rRNA from 1 species
UAGGGAAUAUUGGACAAUGGGCGAAAGCCUGAUCCAGCCAUGCCGCGUGAGUGAUGAAGGCCCUAGGGUUGUAAAGCUCCUUCGCCGGUGAAGAUAAUGACGGUAACCGGUAAAGAAGCCCCGGCUAACUUCGUGCCAGCAGCCGCGGUAAUACGAAGGGGGCUAGCGUUGUUCGGAAUUACUGGGCGUAAAGCGCGCGUAGGCGGACACUUAAGUCAGGGGUGAAAUCCCGGGGCUCAACCUCGGAAUUGCCUCUGAUACUGGGUGUCUCGAGUCCGAGAGAGGUGAGUGGAACUCCGAGUGUAGAGGUGAAAUUCGUAGAUAUUCGGAAGAACACCAGUGGCGAAGGCGGCUCACUGGCUCGGUACUGACGCUGAGGUGCGAAAGCGUGGGGAGCAAACAGGAUUAGAUACCCCUGUAGUCC